UAGCUGCUCCGGGAAGGGCCUUUUGCUUCCCCCGGUACCGGCCGCCUUCUCCCGCUGCGGCCCCCGGAGGAGAAGCGGGGGGCGAAGGGGAUUUGUGGCCCUUUGCAGCCGGGGCCGCACCUGGCGGAGCCUCAGCGCUGCCCGGGGAGCGCUCCCUUGUUUCAGAGCUUUGGUUUUGCUUAAAGCAAGCUGCGCUUUCAAACAGCGAAUCUGUAGCUCGUCACAAGCUCCUGCAUGUACAGAAAUGACGAGAAAUGUUCCCAAAAUCUUUAAAAAUACGUACGAUGUGGUGUAGCAACUGCGACCUAGCUCAGCCCGACCAACAGAUAAAGCCUUAUUCAGAGCUAUCAUUUCCUGUGAAGAUCUACUUCUGUGUCACUAUUCUGUCUCUGCUAAGUGUAAUAGGGCUAACCAUAGAGACACUCGUUCGACAAACUGAGGAAAAUUUCACCAUUUCUCUUAUUCAGUUAGUAGGAGUUGUGUUCUGUGUAUACUAUGUGAGUAGAGGAAUCCUGCAGGAGAAUCGCCAGCAGCUCAUCGUCUUUUGUUCUUUCCAUCUUGCUAGUGAUGUUCCGUUCCAUUGUCAACUUCACAGUUCUCUCUGCUGAGCAAAAGCCAAAACUCCUGCUCUGCUUGUGUAUUCUGCUGAUAAGCCUGCAUGACAUCACCCUUCUACAUAACAUCAUCUCAGCAACAGGGGUUCUUUGGGCCUGCCUGAAGGUGACCAUUAGCAUCAUCGCAAUUUUAAAAGAGCUGAAACCUCUAGUGUGGAUUUUUCUGAGUCAGAAUGUACCUGAAGUAGUUUAUCUCAUCUACCUGCUUUACACGGUAAUUCGUCCAACUUACUUGCUCGAUACUGGGGCGCGGGGCUGGAGGCCUCCUCUUCAUUCCUGGAUCCCUGGGCCCCAAACUGGUGCCUCAUUCCUGAGCAACCCCUUUGUUGUGGCUCCCGUUGGAAUCAGUGAGAGCAGCAGGCACAUCCCACCUCUUCAGGAUUAACUUUUCAAGACAGGAACCAUGUCAAAUUGUUCUUGAACUGAUUAGUUAGGGGGAGAGGCCCUGGAAGUCUCUGCAACUGGCAAAGCCUCCAGAAUGAUUAGGGAAAGAUGCAAGAAAAUCUUCCAGUAUAAAAUACACAGUUCCUCAAAAAUGCCUCCCCCUCCUUCACAAGAAGUCUCAAGUGAUGCCAGAGCAUUUGACUAUCUGCAGGGCCUCAAGUCGUUGUAUUUUAAAGAAUUUCUUAGGCAUCACCCCCACUUGUCGAUCCCGAUGUAGCCAAAACAAGAGAUAGUGCAAACCCAACAAACUCCAGCGUCAGGCAUUUUUUUGGCACUAUAAUAGCAAUAAAUCACUUAUCACUGGGGCACCCCAGCACCUCCCACAACACGUGUGGAAGGAGGUGAGGAAGAAGAAGGGCAAGGGCAAAGCAAAUUGUUCAUCACAGGAAGGGCUCAAAUGCUGAUAGCAGCCAGCAUGUCUCAUACUUUACAUAAAUAGUCUCCAGAUACCGAUAAAAGUCCAGUGGCUGCAGCCAUCCGAGUCCUUGGGGUUCUGGUUAUUAAAGUGUGCAGUCAGAUCAGGCUCUUCCAAUUAUUCACAGGCCUCUUUGAUCUGGCAAAGCAGAGAAGGACCACACACUGUCCUUGGUGGCUGUGCCUUCCUUGUGCUGCAGUUUGGAAGAAAAGUACAGGUGGUGGCUUCCAACGCAAGAGUAACAGAACAACUUCAAAAUAGCCAGGUCUCCUGGUUUUGCCCGAUAACAAUCAACAUGCAAGAGUGACCAGCAAAUGAGGGCACAGCCAUGCAGUGCAAGACUCCUCUGUGCCAGAGAGAUCUGUAAUAGCUGUAACUUCUCCAGACCAAUCCUUUUUAGCAUCUUUUAUCUGACAGG